CCAGAUGGCUGGAUGACCGCGCUUGUUCUUUUUGGGCAAGGGAGGAAAGUCCGGGCUCCACACAGACACGGUGCCGGUUAACGACCGGCGGGGGCGACCCUAGGGAAAGUGCCACAGAAAGCAAACCGCCCAGGCUUGCCUGGGUAAGGGUGAAAGGGUGCGGUAAGAGCGCACCGCGUCCCUGGCAACAGGGAUGGCACGGUAAACCCCACCGGGUGCAAGAUCGAGAAGGACGACCAGGGGCUUAGGGCCUCAAGCGGGUUUGUGCGCUGUCGUUCGGGUGUAUCGCGCGAGGCGUCUGGUAACAGGCGUCCCAGAUGAAUGGUCAUCCAUCCUUUUCUUUAUGGAAAAGGGGGACAGAACCCGGCUUACAGGCCAUCUGGUCCA
rnacentral:RNase_P_RNA from 2 species